rnacentral:rRNA from 1 species
GACGAACGCUGGCGGCGUGCCUAACACAUGCAAGUCGCACGGACCCGCAAGGGUCAGUGGCGAACGGGUGCGUAACACGUGAGGAACAUACCUAUCGGCGGGGGAUAGCCGGCCCAACGGCCGGGUAAUACCGCGUACGCUCUCUGGGAGGCAUCUCCUGGGGAGGAAAGCAGCAAUGCACCGAUAGAGUGCCUCGCGGCCUAUCAGCUAGUUGGUGAGGUAAUGGCUCACCAAGGCUACGACGGGUAGCUGGUCUGAGAGGAUGAUCAGCCACAUUGGGACUGAGACACGGCCCAGACCU